AGGGUGCCAGCAGCCCCCCACCCAUCUCCUGCCCCUCCUACACACUUCACCGGGGAUUUCUCCUCAGGAGAGACCCCAGGUGCGGGUGGCAGCCCUGGAGCUGCUGGCAUCAGUAGCCAACAGCUGUGUGAUGGAGAGGAAAGCCGGCCUCUGUCAGAAGCUGAUCUGCUGCCUCCUCCCCGUCCUCUUCUACCUGAAUGACGAGCACCCAAUAGUGAUCAAAAAAGCCAGAUAUACAUUCUUCUAGUUGGCCCAGAAAGUCGGCUGGAGGCACUCCAAAGUAGUCGGGUGGAUGUUGAGCUGGGAAGAGAGGGAGAGCACGGCCUACGGUACCAUCUGUGAGGCCUUGAUGGAGAGCUUUGAGUAUAGCCAUCCCAUUUUCUCGUCCCUAGCUCUAGCGUAUACCAACUGCCCUCAGCCAGAUGUGAAAUUUGUGGCCAUUGUCUUCCUUAGUGAGUGGGGAGAGGAGGGCGCUCGGGAAAGAAAAAAGAAGCCAACAAAAAACUGCAAAAUAUGCCUCAUUAUCAGGCCCGGCCCCUUUUCUUAGACGGAUCCCAAAGGAGUCCUCUCUUGGCUCCUCCUCCCUGCCAACGUGGGAUGGAUAUGGAAAC